rnacentral:lncRNA from 1 species
CGAGCCCUCAACACCCCUCACAGAGCAGGACCCACCUGCCUUAACCUGUUGACCCCUCAGCCUCUUAAACCUUCAGUUCUCAAAAGCCACCUUCUGAAGGAGGCAGUGGGGAGAUGCCAGGAUCAGCACAGGCUGAAAGUAUCACGCAGGUCCUCAAAGACAGCCCCGCCCUUCCAACAGCAGACUGAGCUCACGCUGAGUGAUGUGAAAGGAGACGGAGGCACUGACCCCGGGGGCCGAGCACAGUGUGACUGCUUUUUCUUCAGCAACACUUCCUCCCUUCAGGUCCGGGUCCUAAGACACACAGGACCUCCUCCGACAUCUAAGCUAGCUGCAAUGACUGCCUGUGCUAGGGUCUUCAGAGUGACCCUGGUCACUGAGAGAGCGAUGGGAUGGUGGGAACCAAGUGGCAACCGUGUGCCCCGAAAAAAACCACGAUGCGUCCACAACACACACGUGCAGCUUUAAAACACCGAAGAGCAGCGUUUACGGCGUUCAAAGACUCAGAGGAAGACUCCCUGCAAUAAGCUUGUGCUUCUGGGCAUCCUCAACACAAGCGAAACCCUGACAAUGAGAACAGAG